rnacentral:rRNA from 1 species
GAUGAACGCUGGCGGCGUGCCUAAUACAUGCAAGUCGAGCGAACAGAUAAGGAGCUUGCUCCUUUGACGUUAGCGGCGGACGGAUGAGUAACACGUGGGUAACCUACCUAUAAGACUGGGAUAACUUCGGGAAACCGGAGCUAAUACCGGAUAACAUUUGGAACCGCAUGGUUCUAAAGUGAAAGAUGGUUUUGCUAUCACUUAUAGAUGGACCCGCGCCGUAUUAGCUAGUUGGUAAGGUAACGGCUUACCAAGGCAACGAUACGUAGCCGACCUGAGAGGGUGAUCGGCCACACUGGAACUGAGACACGGUCCAGACUCCUACGGGAGGCAGCAGUAGGGAAUCUUCCGCAAUGGGCGAAAGCCUGACGGAGCAACGCCGCGUGAGUGAUGAAGGGUUUCGGCUCGUAAAACUCUGUUAUUAGGGAAGAACAAACGUGUAAGUAACUGUGCACGUCUUGACGGUACCUAAUCAGAAAGCCACGGCUAACUACGUG